GUAGACAUUCGGUCGGUGCAAACGGUUUAACUGCAAUGCUUUAUAACUGCAAGUCCGGUAAGUGCAACAAAUUUGCAGUUAUCGCACCGCCAAACGUCAAAAUGGUGCGCCAUGUUAGCCCUAAUGAAUAGUCGAAUGAAUUUUUCGUUCAUUUUACGUCAAUUGACGGUUUGUUGACACUGUCAGGCGUUGCAGUUAUCGAAUUUUCGUUCGCUAAGUGAAACGUAAACAUGUUGCAGUUAUCGAACGUCUACUGUACAAUAAUACCGGACAACAACCUUGCAAAGUUGAUGUUCGUGACUAAUUCGGUUGGCACUAGAAGACGUGGAGCGCAGAGAGCACGAUGGGCGGACCCGGUGCUGAGUGACUUGGCGAGUAUUGGGCGUGACCGAGGAUGGAGAGCGACAGUCACAAACCGAGUGUUGUGGCGUGCUAUUAUUGAUUAUCACCCUCAUUCUUGUUUACGGACGUAUCCACUUUCAAACGUUUUUGGUUCGAUCGAAUCAUUUGAUUUUGCUGGCGUAAACGGGAAUGCGAACAAUUUUCGUUCGAAAGUGGAUUCGAUCGAAAACAAGAAUGAGGGUGUAUGUCUCAUUAGUCCUAUUUUAAAUGUGAUGUUGAACAAAUAAAUGCAAAUGAAGCCGUGUUAAAUCAAGCGUGCCAGUUUGCGUUCAAGGGAUUUUUUGUUGUUGAUAUUCUGCUUCGUGGGUUCACGCACACGCGCACUUUCUCGCGUAAUAACAGCGCCCUGACUCGCAAGAGCAUUAGAUCGAUUCUUGAAAGAACAACUCUCCAUUAACUACGCAGACUCUACGAGUCUACGGGGGGCUAGGGGGAGCUCUGAGAUGGCCGAAAAUUUGUACGUAGUUUAUGGACAGCGCCAUACGGUUGUGUUGAUGCUCGCGUUUUGUUUGAACAAAAAAAAAACUGUAUGAAUGAAACACGAUUGGAUCGAUGAAGCUAAUGCGAAAACAGUAUACUAUUUUAUUUGUUGACGUUUAUUUUACUCCUAACCGAUACAUAACGUACAUAGCAAGUUUCAAUCUGCAAAUAACCAGAUGUGGAGUCGCAAAACCACAUCUGGGACUAGGUUGCGCAUUGUUGGUUUUGUCCAGCAAAUUGUGUAUUUAUCUUCUAUUAUUUUACUAUCAAGGGCAAUCUAAUCGUGUAUCAGUUUAUGAUCUAUCUGAGACGAUCUGCAGGGUUUCGACGCUUGUUAAAGAAUGUGAUCUACUUUAGACAAAAGAAGUGUCGGGAUUCUCGUACAAAAACACUAUCCCAUUGGGCGUGCAAAUAUCUAAUGUUCGUUUGAAAACGAUAUUCCAAAUGGGAUAUUUUUUCGGGUAUACGAUUAGCGUAGAAAUAUGAAGUGUUGGUUCGUAGCUGCUGCUUAGUGGGUUUCAUCUAGUUUUAAACUUUCUCAAAAUUCAAUAAACAUCGUUAGCUAAUUUUAGGACUGUACUGAUUUUCCAUCUUUAUUUGAUUUCUGACUUGUUGCUUUUGUUCACGUCUCGUCUGCGGACUGCUUCCUUCUUCGUGGGCAGUGUGCAAUUAGUGGUAUUCGCAGAACUCAUCCCAUAACCAGUGUGGGGGGAGUG